rnacentral:rRNA from 1 species
UGGGGAAUAUUGCACAAUGGGCGAAAGCCUGAUGCAGCAACGCCGCGUGAGUGAUGAAGGUCUUCGGAUUGUAAAGCUCUGUCUUUUGGGACGAUAAUGACGGUACCAAAGGAGGAAGCCACGGCUAACUACGUGCCAGCAGCCGCGGUAAUACGUAGGUGGCGAGCGUUGUCCGGAUUUACUGGGCGUAAAGGGUGCGUAGGCGGAUGUUUAAGUGAGAUGUGAAAUACCCGGGCUUAACUUGGGUGCUGCAUUUCAAACUGGAUAUCUAGAGUGCAGGAGAGGAGAAUGGAAUUCCUAGUGUAGCGGUGAAAUGCGUAGAGAUUAGGAAGAACACCAGUGGCGAAGGCGAUUCUCUGGACUGUAACUGACGCUGAGGCACGAAAGCGUGGGUAGCAAACAGGAUUAGAUACCCUGGUAGUCCACGCCGUAAAACGAUGAGUACUAGGUGUAGGAGGUAUCGACCCCUUCUGUGCCGCAGUAAACACAUUAAGUACUCCGCCUGGGAAGUACGAUCGCAAGAUUAAAAACUCU